rnacentral:rRNA from 1 species
UACGUAGGGGGCAAGCGUUGUCCGGAUUUAUUGGGCGUAAAGAGCGUGUAGGCGGCCAGGUAGGUCUGCUGUGAAAACUGGAGGCUUAACCUCCAGACGUCGAUGGAAACCGUAUGGCUAGAGUCCGGAAGAGGAGAGUGGAAUUCCUGGUGUAGCGGUGAAAUGCGCAGAUAUCAGGAAGAACACCCGUGGCGAAGGCGGCUCUCUGGGCCACUACUGACGCUGAGAAGCGAAAGCGUGGGGAGCGAACAGG